CGGCUCUCACUUCUCUCCCUUCUCUGCACCGCAAGCACACACGCACAGAGGCACACGAGUGUGCGAGGAAGAACCAUCACCCUUCACCAUCUCGUCCUGCUCUCUCUCUCUCUCCCUCUCGUUCCCGCGACCACAGAAAACCGGAAAACGGACUCCGGCGAGAUUUUUCAAUCUCCGGUUAGGUAAGCCCCUAAUUAUCUCUAUUUAGUCCUUGAAUCUUGCCGGAAAACGAAUCAUGACUGUAAGCGAUUGGUGAGAGAGCAAGCAUUUUGACACCCCUCUCUCUCUCUCUCUCUCUCUGGACUAAGCAGAUCGGUUUGUUUGAACUUUGGGUCUUCUUAUUAGUUUUCGUUCAUAAUCUAUAUAUAUAAAGGGAGAAGCCAGUUUGGUGAAACAUUCAGAAAUGCCAAGAAAGCCCCUUUGUUUUCUUCACAAUUGAAAUUCAAAAAGAUGAAAAAAUGAGGACAAAUUGGUAAAAAAAAAACUGAAUAAAAAAAAACUGUAUUUCAAGAAAAACAAAUCAAUAAAUAACUGUCUAAGAAAACAGGGUUAAGAACGUAAAACUGUGAACAUACGUUAGCAUCACAUUCACUCCAUCUAUCGCACGUUAGCAGUUGCAGCGGUUUACAGAACGGAGAUGGAACCGCCCUUUAUCCCACGUUCUCGAUCCCCACAGAACAUACAAAAGAGAAAAUUGGAUGAUUUUGUCGACCUCAAUUUUGUCUUCCGUUCAAACCCCCCUCCCUCCAUGCUUUUUCUGUAUGAUUUCUUCAGCUGAAACCGGCAGUCCGGAAAAUAAAUGCAUGUUCACACAAAUUGGUGGGGAUUUCCUCACCCUGCCUAGGCUGUUGAAUCCGAAAAUUAACUGACUCUUCCUCCUCAGGAAAUGGAACUGCUCUCUUCCUCUUCUUGGCACCCACGUAUGCCCUUUCUCUCUCACAUUCUUUCAUUUGGGGUCCAAAGUUUUCUUAUUGAGCCGUGCACUAUUGCCAGGAUUUGGAUGGAAUUGAUGGGCAGGAGAGAGGUGAGGUAAUCGGAUUUUCAUUAGAAUUCCACUGUGUUUUUCUAGGGAGGAUAUAGUAAGAGCUGCGAAAUGUUAUAUAGUUUAACUUCUCGGAUUUAUUAAUCGUUUGUGCUUAUUCUGAACAUUAUUUUUUGUUUAUGAAUUAAAAAAUCUAUAUAAAAAGGAGAAAAGGGGUGGGAAAGGUGCAAGAGAGGGUAGAUUAUGAAUUCAUGCUCCAAGUGUGCAAUAGGUUUUUUAUUUAUUUAUUUUUCAUCGCACAUACAUUAAAUCUACACAAUUGUAGUUCUUCUCGGAUUUGCAUUGGCGUCCUUCAAGUAGGUGGUGGAUCAUCUGUUCAUAUGGUUGUGUGAAUAGUAGAGUUGACGAGGUUAGAGAAGUGAGUGAGUACAUAAUUAUGGGUGUGCCAAUUCGGGUUAGGACUGGAAUGUCCAACAUUAGAGAGGGAGGGUUUUCUGGUCCUGGAGCUCAUGAUUCAUGGAAUUGCAAUAUGGGCCAGGCUGUGCAGUUCCAAUUGCUUCAGUUGAAGAAAGAAUGAUGAAAUUAUGACUUUGUAGAACUUCUCAUUUCUGUUUUCGGGUAAUUUGAAUUUUUUUAUUUUUUUUUACAUUCUUUUCUUGGGCAGUUUAAGGAUUUGUCUGAUAACCAGUUUGUUUUUCUGUUUUUAGUUUUCACAUUUUUUAAUGUUUUUUUAACAGACAGCAGGGAUAAUGCUUGCAUUCUUAUGCAAUUGGUUUGAAGUUUGAUUUCUUUCUAACCAAAAAUUUGUUUACUACGAGCCCUUGGUGAUAGGAUACGACUUCUAAAAU